rnacentral:rRNA from 1 species
ACUCCUACGGGAGGCAGCAGUGGGGAAUUUUGCGCAAUGGGCGAAAGCCUGACGCAGCAACGCCGCGUGAGUGAUGAAGGCUUUCGGGUCGUAAAGCUCUGUCAGGGGGAAAGAAGUGUAUUGUGGCUAAUAUCCACGAUACUUGACGGUACCCCCAAAGGAAGCACCGGCUAACUCCGUGCCAGCAGCCGCGGUAAUACGGAGGGUGCAAGCGUUGUUCGGAAUUAUUGGGCGUAAAGCGCGUGUAGGCGGUUUGUUAAGUCUGAUGUGAAAGCCCCGGGCUCAACCCGGGAAGUGCAUUGGAAACUGGCAGACUUGAAUACGGGAGAGGGUAGUGGAAUUCCUAGUGUAGGAGUGAAAUCCGUAGAUAUUAGGAGGAACACCGGUGGCGAAGGCGGCUGCCUGGACCGAUAUUGACGCUGAGACGCGAAAGCGUGGGUAGCAGACAGGAUUAGAUACCCUGGUAGUCCACGCCGUAAACGAUGAGAACUAGGUGUCGCGGGA